rnacentral:rRNA from 1 species
AUUGAACGCUGGCGGCAUGCUUUACACAUGCAAGUCGAACGGCAGCGCGGGGCAACCUGGCGGCGAGUGGCGAACGGGUGAGUAAUAUAUCGGAACGUACCCAGAAGUGGGGGAUAACGUAGCGAAAGUUACGCUAAUACCGCAUACGAUCUACGGAUGAAAGUGGGGGACCUUCGGGCCUCAUGCUUGUGGAGCGGCCGAUAUCUGAUUAGCUAGUUGGUGAGGUAAAGUCUCACCAAGGCGACGAUCAGUAGCUGGUCUGAGAGGACGACCAGCCACACUGGGACUGAGACACGGCCCAGACUCCUACGGGAGGCAGCAGUGGGGAAUUUUGGACAAUGGGCGCAAGCCUGAUCCAGCAAUGCCGCGUGAGUGAAGAAGGCCUUCGGGUUGUAAAGCUCUUUUGUCAGGGAAGAAACGGCCUGGGCUAAUAUCCUGGGCUAAUGACGGUACCUGAAGAAUAAGCACCGGCUAACUACGUGCCAGCAGCCGCAGUAAGAC